UACGUAGGGUGCGAGCGUUAAUCGGAAUUACUGGGCGUAAAGCGUGCGCAGGCGGUCUGUUAAGACCGAUGUGAAAUCCCCGGGCUUAACCUGGGAACUGCAUUGGUGACUGGCAGGCUUUGAGUGUGGCAGAGGGAGGUAGAAUUCCACGUGUAGCAGUGAAAUGCGUAGAGAUGUGGAGGAAUACGAUGGCGAAGGCAGCCUCCUGGGCCAACACUGACGCUCAUGCACGAAAGCGUGGGGAGCAAACAGG
rnacentral:rRNA from 1 species